CCUACGGGAGGCAGCAGUGAGGAAUAUUGUUCAAUGGUCGGGAGACUGAACCAGCCAAGCCGCGUGAGGGAUGAAGGUACAGAGUAUCGUAAACCUCUUUUGUCAGGGAACAAAGGCGGGGACGUGUCCCCGGAUGAGUGUACCUGAAGAAAAAGCAUCGGCUAACUCCGUGCCAGCAGCCGCGGUAAUAAGGAGGAUGCGAGCGUUAUCCGGAUUUAUGGGGUUUAAAGGGUGCGCAGGCGGUCUGUUAAGUCAGCGGUCAAAGCCCGGGGCUCAACCCCGGCCCGCCGUUGAAACUGGCAGUCUCGAGUUGGAGAGAAGUAUGCGGAAUGCGCGGUGUAGCGGUGAAAUGCAUAGAUAUCGCGCAGAACUCCGAUUGCGAAGGCAGCAUGCCGGCUCCACACUGACGCUGAGGCACGAAAGCGUGGGUAUCGAACAGGAUUAGAUACCCCUGUAGUC
rnacentral:rRNA from 1 species